GCCAGGGACUUACAACCUUACGACUUUUCAAGGUGCGCCAGAGGGUUGCAUCCUGUUCUGCAAAUCAUGUUCUGCUAAAUUUAGAUAUAUGUAUUUAUAUAGCCAAAACGAAAUAGUAAAUGUUGAAAUUCCCAUAUACACAUGUCGUUUGAGGGUAUACAUUUAUUUAUUUUUUUAACAUAAAAACAGGUAUAAGCAUUUAAUCACAAUAACAAGAAGAGUAAAAUUUAGAAAAGUAAAAAUACAUACAAGUAACAAAU
rnacentral:lncRNA from 1 species